rnacentral:tRNA from 1 species
GUGAAUGUGGUGUAAUGGUUAGCACAAGGGAAUGUGACUCCCUUUGAGGCGGUUCGAUUCCGCUCGUUCACA